GUUUGAUCCUGGCUCAGAUUGAACGCUGGCGGCGUGCUUAACACAUGCAAGUCGUGCGAGAAAGGGGACUUCGGUCCCUGAGUAGAGCGGCGCACGGGUGAGUAACGCGUGGAUCAUCUACCCAGAUAUUCGGGAUAACGGCGGGAAACUGCCGCUAAUACCGGAUACGCUCCAAUUUCGGUUGGGGGAAAGGCGGCCUCUGCUUGCAAGCUGUCGUAUCUGGAUGAGUCCGCGUCCCAUUAGCUUGUUGGUAGGGUAACGGCCUACCAAGGCUACGAUGGGUAGCUGGUCUGAGAGGAUGAUCAGCCACACUGGAACUGAAACACGGUCCAGACUCCUACGGGAGGCAGCAGUGGGGAAUAUUGCGCAAUGGGGGCAACCCUGACGCAGCGACGCCGUGUGAGGGAAGAAGGCUUUCGGGUCGUAAACCUCUGUCGGGAAGGAAGAACCUCUCGGGGCCGAACAGGUCCUGGGACUGACGGUACUUCCAAAGGAAGCACCGGCUAACUCC
rnacentral:rRNA from 1 species